GAUGAACGCUGGCGGCGUGCCUAAUACAUGCAAGUCGAGCGAACAGACGAGGAGCUUGCUCCUCUGACGUUAGCGGCGGACGGGUGAGUAACACGUGGAUAACCUACCUAUAAGACUGGGAUAACUUCGGGAAACCGGAGCUAAUACCGGAUAAUAUAUUGAACCGCAUGGUUCAAUAGUGAAAGACGGUUUUGCUGUCACUUAUAGAUGGAUCCGCGCCGCAUUAGCUAGUUGGUAAGGUAACGGCUUACCAAGGCAACGAUGCGUAGCCGACCUGAGAGGGUGAUCGGCCACACUGGAACUGAGACACGGUCCAGACUCCGACGGGAGGCAGCAGUAGGGAAUCUUCCGCAAUGGGCGAAAGCCUGACGGAGCAACGCCGCGUGAGUGAUGAAGGUCUUCGGAUCGUAAAACUCUGUUAUUAGGGAAGAACAAAUGUGUAAGUAACUAUGCACGUCUUGACGGUACCUAAGCAGAAAGUCACGGCUAACUACGU
rnacentral:rRNA from 1 species